GGUCCUACGGGACGCAGCAGUGAGGAAUAUUGGUCAAUGGACGAGAGUCUGAACCAGCCAAGUAGCGUGAAGGAUGACUGCCCUAUGGGUUGUAAACUUCUUUUAUAUGGGAAUAAAGUGAGCCACGUGUGGCUUUUUGUAUGUACCAUACGAAUAAGGAUCGGCUAACUCCGUGCCAGCAGCCGAGGUAAUACGGAGGAUCCUAGCGUUAUCCGGAUUUAUUGGGGUUAAAGGGAGCGUAUGCGGAUUAUUAAGUCAGUUGUGAAAGUUUUCGGCUCGACCG
rnacentral:rRNA from 1 species